rnacentral:rRNA from 1 species
UGGGGAAUUUUGCACAAUGGGGGAAACCCUGAUGCAGCGACGCCGCGUGAUUUAGAAGGCCUUCGGGUUGUAAAAAUCUUUUUUACGGGAUGAAAAUGACAGUACCGUAAGAAUAAGGUCCGGCUAAAUACGUGCCAGCAGCCGCGGUAAUACGUAUGGACCGAGCGUUGUCCGGAAUCAUUGGGCGUAAAGGGUACGUAGGCGGCCUAGUAAGUUAGAAGUGAAAUAAUAUAGCUCAACUAUAUAAAGCUUUUAAAACUGCUAGGCUUGAGAGAUGGAAGGGAAAGUGGAAUUCCUAGUGUAGCGGUGAAAUGCGCAGAUAUUAGGAAGAAUACCGGUGGCGAAGACGACUUUCUGGUCAUCAUCUGACGCUGAGGUACGAAAGCGUGGGUAGCAAACAGG